rnacentral:misc_RNA from 1 species
GAAUCCAUGUUACGCCUGUCUUUCGAAAACUUUUCCUCGCAUACUUAUCCAUCGCUGCUGAUAAGCUUCGUAUUGCUCCAUUUAUCAGAGAAGUUGCGAUAUACCGUAUUUGCGGAACUUUGCCUUCAGAUCCAUUAAUUUCGAAUCCGUGCGACACCUUUCUCUCAAUUUACCAGAAAUUCUCCUUUCCCAAUUAUCCAUCAUUAUGCUUUCGAGUACUCGGUUCAUUUGAAAACUUCACAUUAAACUCGUAAUUACAAUAAUAUUAUCGUCGAAACUUUACACUUCCACGUCCAUUAAUUUUCAAUCCAUGAAAUAUCUGUCUGUAAAUUUAUCAAAUAUCUCUGUCUUGUAAUUAACUACCGAUGCUAACGAAGCUUCUUAUCGUUUGGAACAUCCAACGAAAGCCACGAAUCCAGUAAUAUUACUAGCCGAAUCGUACACCCAAAUCUGUGAAAUAAUUUUCGAGUCGACGUGUAAUUAAAACAAUUUUCAAAUCGAAGAUUAAUUCAAAUAAAUUCCAAUCGACUUUACAGUUAACUGUCGAUUUACCAAAAAAUUCUCAAAGCUGUUCAUCGCUACGAAUUUCCU